GAAGUUUGGAUCCUGUGUGCGCAGGCUGAAGCUAAAAUAUGGGCUGGGAUUUCAAUCCUUACACAACACCGCAGCUUUUCACCACAGGGAACAAUGAAGUAUGUCUUCUUCUUCUUCUUCCUCCUCUGUUUAUCUCUGGGGAGAAAAAGGUGCUUCGGGAAAAGUCAACUUGGAAUGAGAAAGAGGACGGAGAGGCGUUAACCAGUGUGGUUGUUUCUAUUGGAUCUCUAGGAGGACAGCUGUUUGCCAAAAGAAACAUGGUGGUGCAACAUGGAACACUCCAUAGACAAGGACCUGCUCCCUAUGUGGAUAUAAACAGCUCACUCUAAGGUAAG